rnacentral:rRNA from 1 species
UGCAGUCGAGCGGACAGAUGGGAGCUUGCUCCCUGAUGUUAGCGGCGGACGGGUGAGUAACACGUGGGUAACCUGCCUGUAAGACUGGGAUAACUCCGGGAAACCGGGGCUAAUACCGGAUGGUUGUUUGAACCGCAUGGUUCAGACAUAAAAGGUGGCUUCGGCUACCACUUACAGAUGGACCCGCGGCGCAUUAGCUAGUUGGUGAGGUAACGGCUCACCAAGGCAACGAUGCGUAGCCGACCUGAGAGGGUGAUCGGCCACACUGGGACUGAGACACGGCCCAGACUCCUACGGGAGGCAGCAGUAGGGAAUCUUCCGCAAUGGACGAAAGUCUGACGGAGCAACGCCGCGUGAGUGAUGAAGGUUUUCGGAUCGUAAAGCUCUGUUGUUAGGGAAGAACAAGUGCCGUUCAAAUAGGGCGGCACCUUGACGGUACCUAACCAGAAAGCCACGGCUAACUACGUGCCAGCAGCCGCGGUAAUACGUAGGUGGCAAGCGUUGUCCGGAAUUAUUGGGCGUAAAGGGCUCGCAGGCGGUUUCUUAAGUCUGAUGUGAAAGCCCCCGGCUCAACCGGGGAGGGUCAUUGGAAACUGGGGAACUUGAGUGCAGAAGAGGAGAGUGGAAUUCCACGUGUAGCGGUGAAAUGCGUAGAGAUGUGGAGGAACACCAGUGGCGAAGGCGACUCUCUGGUCUGUAACUGACGCUGAGGAGCGAAAGCGUGGGGAGCGAACAGGAUUAGAUACCCUGGUAGUCCACGCCGUAAACGAUGAGUGCUAAGUGUUAGGGGGUUUCCGCCCCUUAGUGCUGCAGCUAACGCAUUAAGCACUCCGCCUGGGGAGUACGGUCGCAAGACUGAAACUCAAAGGAAUUGACGGGGGCCCGCACAAGCGGUGGAGCAUGUGGUUUAAUUCUGAAGCAACGCGAAGAACCUUACCAGGUCUUGACAUCCUCUGACAAUCCUAGAGAUAGGACGUCCCCUUCGGGGGCAGAGUGACAGGUGGUGCAUGGUUGUCGUCAGCUCGUGUCGUGAGAUGUUGGGUUAAGUCCCGCAACGAGCGCAACCCUUGAUCUUAGUUGCCAGCAUUCAGUUGGGCACUCUAAGGUGACUGCCGGUGACAAACCGGAGGAAGGUGGGGAUGACGUCAAAUCAUCAUGCCCCUUAUGACCUGGGCUACACACGUGCUACAAUGGACAGAACAAAGGGCAGCGAAACCGCGAGGUUAAGCCAAUCCCACAAAUCUGUUCUCAGUUCGGAUCGCAGUCUGCAACUCGACUGCGUGAAGCUGGAAUCGCUAGUAAUCGCGGAUCAGCAUGCCGCGGUGAAUACGUUCCCGGGCCUUGUACACACCGCCCGUCACACCACGAGAGUUUGUAACACCCGAAGUCGGUGAAG